CGUGUUCGUGGGCGGGAAGGGCGAGCGCGAGCAACAGAUGUACCUGGGGUUCGACCCAUCUGCGGAAUUCCACUUGUACACCUUCCGGUGGACCAAGGACUCGGUGCUGUUCCUGGUGGACGGGGCCGUCGUGCGGGUGUUCAAGAACCUGGAAGGACAAGUGCCGGGGUUCAAGUACCUGAAGGAUCAGGCGAUGAUGGUGUACGUGAGCAUCUGGGACGGCAGCCAGUGGGCUACUCAGGGAGGGAGGGUGAAGAUCAACUAUGACUCGGCUCCCUUCGUGGCGCACUACGACUACUUCGGGCUGAAUGGGUGCACGGUGGACCC
rnacentral:lncRNA from 1 species